GUGCCAGCCGCCGCGGUAAUACGUGAGGGGCAAACGUUGUUCGGUGUCACUGGGCUUAAAGGGUGCGUAGGUGGUUGCGUAAGUAACGUGUGAAAUCCCCCGGCUUACCCGGGGAAUUGCGCGUUAUACUGCGUAACUUGAGGACUGUAGGGGAAUGGGGAACUCCAGGUGUAGCGGUGAAAUGCGCAGAUAUCUGGGGGAAGGCCGGCGGCGAAGGCGCCAUUCUGGGCAGUUCCUGACACUGAGGCACGAAAGCGUGGGGAGCAAACAGGAUUAGAUACCCCCGUAGUCC
rnacentral:rRNA from 1 species